CCCUUUUGGUGUCUUCCUUCCCUGUUAUGUAGUUCCAUUUUGCACUGGAUUUUGGCAGUGGCAAAGUAAUAAACUUAUCACUGGCGUGCAUUCAUUUGACCUUUUGCUUUGUGCACACAAUCAUGCAUUAAUCUUUGGUUAUGUUGCUAUUAUUCUGUUUAGAGUUUUGCAGUCAGAUGCAUCUUUUGUGAAUAGCUCUUGUAGAGUUAAUCAGUGGGCUAUGGAAAUUUUAUCCCCUCACUCUAUAAGUUGGUUGGUUUGAAGCUUAGCAUAUAUUUUCUCCCUGAAUGCUAUCUAGUAUUUACAAAUAAGAAUGCUCUCAAUAAUGUCCAUGCCUCUAAUUUUUUUUUUGAAGAUUAAAUUCAGUUAGCUAAGUUUCAUUAUAUGGAUUUCUAACAGUUUAAUCUGCAGAAUGUUUUCUGUUUGGUUAAUCUAGCUAAUUUUGCUAUUUCUCCAUUGUUUUGUUGCUUUAAAAGCCAUGUUUAAAUUGUCUUUAUAUUUGAUUAACUGUACUAUGUACAUAAUAAUAUUACCUACUUGGUGAAGUACGUCCUCUAUUGUUUGCUUCUAGUAGCUCCCAAGUUGCCAUUUUUCUGAUAGCCUUUUUUGACCAACAAAGACUGUCAAACUCAUUUUGCCAUUUUUCUGAUCCUGUUAUAUCUUUUUUAUGUUUAUGUCAUUUUCUUGGAUAUAAUUAAGUCAGUGCAUUUUGUUGUUUCCUUGCAACUCAUUUUUUGGGAUUUACUUGGUUUCUUACCAUGUAUCUUGUGGUACAAGCAAUGACUCUGUAUGAGUUUGCGUUGGUAUGCAGGGUUACUUGGCAUGUCAAAGAACCACAAGCCAUAACUGGCCGUGCAAGCAUCUCAGAUCUUGUAGGUUUAUGAAGGUGAGCGCCCUGUUGGCAAAAUAGGGCAUGCGAUCUUCAUAUGUCAAACCCUUGUUAAUGAAUUUGCAUCGUCGAAUGACUUGAUGAAUGUACAUAUCUGGAAAGUUACUCUAUUCUGCUGGUGCAGGCUGGAAUGCUGUUAUAUCCUGUCAAGUUUUGUUGUGCCUAUGUGCCCAACUCACACUGGGCCUGAAAAUCACAAUGCAUCUUGUUUUACUGUAUAUUACAGUAAAAUUUAACAUUUGAACCGAAAAACUCUGAAACCGAAGUGGGCAGUGAAAAUUUCUUUAUCAAUGUUGCGAUGCAAACACACUGUUAAACAGAAUUGCAUGGUAAUCGUAAUGUUCAUCUUCCUCUACAAAAGCGUACUUAUCUUAUCAGAACUGAAUGUCGUGUGUGGGCGCAGACCGGGGCAAAGCAUUUGAGCGCCCUUCUCCCACUGUAAUUUCCUUUUGCCCCGGCUGGUCGUUGCCACUCAUGUACCUAUCUCUAUGUAUUUGUUUCUCAUCUCUUAACAUAUGACAUGCAGUCUUUGCAUGCUUGAAAAAAGAAGAAAAUAAUUGCAUGGGAGGCCAUCGCCAAAUGGAAGGGUUGAAGCUUAUCAGUUUGUUUUGCUUGAGAUGGUUGAAGUUAUCAGGAUUGUAAUAAAGAACAAUCUGUGAAUUCCAUUGUAG
rnacentral:lncRNA from 1 species